rnacentral:piRNA from 1 species
UUGAAUUUGUGGUAGUUUUA